rnacentral:rRNA from 1 species
UACGUAGGGGGCAAGCGUUGUCCGGAAUUAUUGGGCGUAAAGAGCGUGUAGGCGGCCAGAUAAGUCCGCUGUGAAAUCUCGAGGCUCAACUUCGAGCUGUCGGUGGAAACUAUCUGGCUAGAGUCCGGAAGAGGAGAAUGGAAUUCCUGGUGUAGCGGUGAAAUGCGCAGAUAUCAGGAAGAACACCCGUGGCGAAGGCGGUUCUCUGGGACGGUACUGGACGCUGAGACGCGAAAGCGUGGGGAGCGAACAGG